UUUAUGGAGAGUUUGAUCCUGGCUCAGGAUGAACGCUGGCGGCGUGCCUAAUACAUGCAAGUCGAGCGAACGGACGAGAAGCUUGCUUCUCUGAUGUUAGCGGCGGACGGGUGAGUAACACGUGGAUAACCUACCUAUAAGACUGGGAUAACUUCGGGAAACCGGAGCUAAUACCGGAUAAUAUUUUGAACCGCAUGGUUCAAAAGUGAAAGACGGUCUUGCUGUCACUUAUAGAUGGAUCCGCGCUGCAUUAGCUAGUUGGUAAGGUAACGGCUUACCAAGGCAACGAUGCAUAGCCGACCUGAGAGGGUGAUCGGCCACACUGGAACUGAGACACGGUCCAGACUCCUACGGGAGGCAGCAGUAGGGAAUCUUCCGCAAUGGGCGAAAGCCUGACGGAGCAACGCCGCGUGAGUGAUGAAGGUCUUCGGAUCGUAAAACUCUGUUAUUAGGGAAGAACAUAUGUGUAAGUAACUGUGCACAUCUUGACGGUACCUAAUCAGAAAGCCACGGCUAACUACGUGCCA
rnacentral:rRNA from 1 species